rnacentral:pre_miRNA from 1 species
GCCGGGAAGAGGGGGAAAUGUGUGUCCAAGAGCGGUUGGCAUGAGACCAUGGAGGAAGGCCCCAACACAGCCACUCUUCUGAAUUCAGGGGUUAAGCAUGUGUUUCGGUGUUUUCCCGAUGCCUCUCAUGCCUAUCGUUCUUCGGUGCUCCUUCCUCCUCCAUGCUCAU